AGAAAAGGCGCAAUUUAAGUGCUGGGUGGGGCGCAGUGGGGCGGGACAGGGGUUGCGGAGAGGAUUGAAUUUCUCUUCGCUCGCAACCUUCCGUCGGCGGAUAAAGCGCAAGUUUGUGGAUUUCGCCCCCAGAGAGAUUGCAAAACCGAUGAAACAGAAAGUGUCCAGUGAGAUGCAGAGUUUGCCCAGAUUUCCCUGCAGAGAAAUCUGGGCAAACUCCGUUUGCGGAAACCCCUGUGAUGGGAACUUUCUGCAUUUCGUGUACGGAGGGAGCUAAAGGAAAGGAGGGAAGGGAGCGGGGCGGGGAGGGGGGCAUUGGGAGCGUGAAGCGUGAAGCGUGUGUGUGUGUGUGUGUGUGUGUGUGUGUGUGUACGCGCGCGCGCGCGCGCGCAGGGGGAGAGGUUGUGCCCGGGAGCGGGGGCGUCACAGCGGGGGCAGAGGAAGGAGUGCAGAACGUCCUGCAGGCUAAUUGGCUUAAGACGUUCUGCAAGCGCUUGGAAAAGGUCGUUGAAGGAGUUCGCUGCACACACACCAAAUAAUAAUCUUAAAAAAGAGUGCCGGGCAUGCGCACACGGAGGAUGCCAUAUUGGAAGGAGGCUGUAGUGGGAGUCGGAGGACCAGAGCGGGCGCGCGAGGGAGGCGGCGGGCGGGGAGUGAGCGAGGCAGAGCGAGCGAGCGGGCGGGCGAGGCCGGCGUCCCCACCCCCCCCUAACCCCCGGCGGCGCCCGGGGCCUCGGUCCACCCACGGGGAGGACGAACUUCACCAGCCAUUGGCAGAUACGGUUCUUGAAGAUGCUCCUGUGAUCGCCCAGGCUGUGAGCUGCUUCUCAGGGAACCGGAACCUGGGAUGUUUCAGAGAUCAGGUUUGGGCGAACAGUUUGGUGGUGCGCCCCCCUUCAGAAUCCUUGGGGGUUUUCCAUUUUGAUGGACAUGGUUGGAAAGGUCUCAGCGGGGAUGAGGUGUCCUAGUGCUCCUUUUGACAUUCCUGCGGUGCGACAGGAGGCAUCUGCUCUGUGAUCCAGACGUGCUGGAGUUCCAGGGGCUGCCACGGCAGGCCUGGAAUUUCCUAAGCUUUUAGUGUAGGCCUUGGCUUUUCAUGUUCCAUCUGGAGAGUAGUCUGUCUUCCGAGCCACAUAAAAAACAAAUAACUGCAAACCUUCCCCCUCUCAGAGUAGCAAGCCUGAGAUUGCAAGUAUGGUCAUUGGUAGUAAAUGGCCCGUUUGUUGCAGCUUUAAGGCAGAUCCCUUUGAAAGUACUGGAUAAUUGGGUAACUUGAAAAGAGAUGCGGAGUUCCCUAGCGGUGCAGCCGGUGAAGGAUCUGGCGUUGUUGCUGCUAUGGUUUGGGUCUGAUCCCUGGCCUGGGAGUUUCUGC
rnacentral:lncRNA from 1 species